rnacentral:rRNA from 1 species
AUUGAACGCUGGCGGCAGGCCUAACACAUGCAAGUCGAGCGGCAGCGGGAAAGUAGCUUGCUACUUUUGCCGGCGAGCGGCGGACGGGGGAGUAAUGCCUGGGGAUCUGCCCAGUCGAGGGGGCUAACUACUGGAAACGGUAGCUAAUACCGCAUACGCACUACGGGGGAAAGCAGGGGACCUUUGGGCCUUGCGCGAUUGGAUGAACCGGGGUGGGAUUAGCUAGUUGGUGAGGUAAUGGCUCACCAAGGCGACGAUCCCUAGCUGGUCUGAGAGGAUGAUCAGCCACACUGGAACUGAGACACGGUCCAGACUCCUACGGGAGGCAGCAGUGGGGAAUAUUGCACAAUGGGGGAAACCCUGAUGCAGCCAUGCCGCGUGUGUGAAGAAGGCCUUCGGGUUGUAAAGCACUUCCAGCGAGGAGGAAAGGUCAGUAGCUAAUAUCUGCUGGCUGUGACGUUACUCGCAGAAGAAGCACCGGCUAACUCCGUGCCAGCAGCCGCCGUAA